ensembl:piRNA 21ur-4452 ncRNA
UAUUUGUGAUAACUACGUUUC